UGGUAGACCGCGGGUAAGGAUGUAGGGCGAGGUGUAGGCAAAUCCGCACCUCAUGCGCCUGAUAUCUGACACGGACCCGUAUAGGGGAAGUCGGUGAUCCUAUGCUGCCAAGAAAAUCUUCUAGCGAGGUUCGAGCCGCCCGUACCCCAAACCGACUCAGGUGGUUAGGUAGAGAAUACCAAGGCGAUCGAGUGAAUCGUGGUUAAGGAAUUCGGCAAAAUACCCCCGUAACUUCGGGAGAAGGGGGGCCCAGAGGGUGACGGGACUUGCUCCCCGAGCCUGAACGGCCGCAGAGACCAGGGAGAAGCGACUGUUUACUAAAAACACAGGUCCGUGCCAAGUCGCAAGACGAUGUAUACGGACUGACGCCUGCCCGGUGCUGGAACGUUAAGGGGACCGGUUAGCCUCACGGCGAAGCUGAGAACUUAAGCGCCAGUAAACGGCGGUGGUAACUAUAACCAUCCUAAGGUAGCGAAAUUCCUUGUCGGGUAAGUUCCGACCUGCACGAAUGGCGUAACGAUUUCUCCACUGUCUCAACCACGAACUCGGCGAAAUUGCACUACGAGUAAAGAUGCUCGUUACGCGCAGAAGGACGGAAAGACCCCGGGACCUUUACUACAGCUUGGUAUUGGUGUUCGGUACGGCUUGUGUAGGAUAGGUGGGAGACUAUGAAGCUGACACGCCAGUGUCGGUGGAGUCAACGUUGAAAUACCACUCUGGUCGUUCUGGAUAUCUAACCUAGGUCCGUGAUCCGGAUCAGGGACAGUGCCUGGUGUGUCGUUUAACUGGGGCGGUUGCCUCCUAAAAGGUAACGGAGGCGCCCAAAGGUUCCCUCAGCCUGGUUGGCAAUCAGGUUUUGAGUGUAAGUGCACAAGGGAGCUUGACUGUGAGACUGACAAGUCGAACAGGGACGAAAGUCGGGACUAGUGAUCCGGCGGUGGCUUGUGGAAGCGCCGUCGCUCAACGGAUAAAAGGUACCCCGGGGAUAACAGGCUGAUCUUGCCCAAGAGUCCAUAUCGACGGCAUGGUUUGGCACCUCGAUGUCGGCUCGUCGCAUCCUGGGGCUGGAGUAGGUCCCAAGGGUUGGGCUGUUCGCCCAUUAAAGCGGUACGCGAGCUGGGUUUAGAACGUCGUGAGACAGUUCGGUCCCUAUCCUCUGCGCGCGCAGGAAACUUGAGAAGGGCUGUCCCUAGUACGAGAGGACCGGGAUGGACGAACCUCUGGUGUGUCAGUUGUUCUGCCAAGAGCACCGCUGAUUAGCUACGUUCGGGAGUGAUAACCGCUGAAAGCAUCUAAGCGGGAAGCAUGCUUCAAGAUGAGGUUUCCAUGGGGUUUACCCCGAGAGGCUCCCAGCUAGACUACUGGGUUGAUAGGCCGGAUGUGGAAGUGCGGUAACGCGUG
rnacentral:rRNA from 1 species